rnacentral:rRNA from 1 species
CCUACGGGAGGCAGCAGUGGGGGAUAGUGCACAAUGGGGGAAACCCUGAUGCAGCGACGCCGCGUGAGUGAAGAAGUAUUUCGGUAUGUAAAGCUCUAUCAGCAGGGAAGAAAAUGACAGUACCUGACCAAGAAGCCCCGGUCAACUACGGGCCAGCAGCCGCGGUAAUACGUAGGGGGCAAGCGUUAUCCGGAUUGACUGGGUGUAAAGGGAGCGUAGACGGUUAUGGAAGUCUGGAGUGAAAGCCCGGGGCCCCACCCCGGGACUGCUUUGGAAACUGUGUAACUGGAGUACAGGAGGGGCAGGCGGCAUUCCUGGUGUAGCGGUGCAAUGCGUAGAUCUCAGGAGGAACCCCGGCGGCGAAGGCGGCCUGCUGGACUGAACCUGCCGUUGAGGCUCGAAAGCGUGGGGAGCAAACAGGAUUAGCUCCCCUAGUAGUC